rnacentral:rRNA from 1 species
GCUGGCGGCAUGCCUAACACAUGCAAGUCGAACGGUAACAGGUCUUCGGAUGCUGACGAGUGGCGCACGGGUGAGUAACGCGUGGAUAUCUGCCUAUGAGUGGGGGACAACUUUCGGAAACGAAAGCUAAUACCGCAUAAUCUCUACGGAGCAAAGCAGGGGACCUUUCGGGGCYUUGUGCUUAUAGAUGAGUCCGCGUCAGAUUAGCUAGUUGGUGGGGUAAGAGCCUACCAAGGCGAUGAUCUGUAGCUGGUUUGAGAGGAUGAUCAGUCACACUGGAACUGAGACACGGUCCAGACUCCUACGGGAGGCAGCAGUGGGGAAUUUUGCACAAUGGGGGAAACCCUGAUGCAGCGAUGCCGCGUGUGGGAAGAAGGCCUUUGGGUUGUAAACCACUUUCAAUUGGGAAGAAGGGAUGAGGAUUAAUAAUCCUCUGACUUGACGGUACCUUUAGAAGAAGCACCGGCUAAUUUCGUGCCAGCAGCCGCGGUAAUACGAAAGGUGCAAGCGUUGUUCGGAUUUACUGGGCGUAAAGAGAUCGUAGGUGGUUUGUUAAGUUGGAUGUGAAAUCCCGGGGCUCAACCUCGGAACUGCAUCCAAAACUGGCAGACUUGAGUUCGGGAGGGGUAAGCGGAAUUCCGUGUGUAGCAGUGAAAUGCGUAGAUAUACGGAGGAACACCUGAGGCGAAGGCGGCUUACUGGACCGAUACUGACACUGAGGAUCGAAAGCGUGGGUAGCAAACASGAUUAGAUACCCUGGUAGUCCACGCCCUAAACGAUGUCAACUAGCCGUUGCGGGUAUCGACCCCUGCAGUGGCGCAGCUAACGCGAUAAGUUGACCGCCUGGGGAGUACGGUCG